AGCAGUCGCCGCGGUAAAACGAAGGGGGCUAGCGUUGCUCGGAAUGACUGGGCGUAAAGGGCGCGUAGGCGGCGAUCAAAGUCAGGCGUGAAAUUCCUGGGCUCAACCUGGGGGCUGCGCUUGAUACUUGGUUGCUUGAGUGGGGAAGAGGGUCGUGGAAUUCCCAGUGUAGAGGUGAAAUUCGUAGAUAUUGGGAAGAACACCGGUGGCGAAGGCGGCUCACUGGACCAUUUCUGACGCUGAUGCACGAAAGCUAGGGGAGCAAACAGGAUUAGAGACCCCAGUAGUCCCUGUCUCUUAUAA
rnacentral:rRNA from 1 species